rnacentral:rRNA from 1 species
CGCCUGCCCAGUGAACAAUUAAACGGCCGCGGUACCCUAACCGUGCAAAGGUAGCGUAAUCAUUUGUCUAUUAAUUGUAGACCAGCAUGAAAGGCACAAUGAGGAUCUCCCUGUCUCUUAUAAUAAAUCAAUUAAACUGAUCCCCUAGUAAAAAAGCUAGGAUACACACACAAGACCAGAAGACCCUGUGAAGCUUAAAUUAAACUAUUAAACCCUAUAAUACCUACUUUCGGUUGGGGCGACCUUGGAAAAAAAAAGAACUUCCAAACAUACGACCAUAACUCCCACAUCGGCCUACAAGCCUCACAUAGACCCAGUAAAACUGAUAAUUGAACCAAGUUACUCCAGGGAUAACAGCGCCAUCUUCUUCAAGAGCCCAUAUCAAAAAGAAGGUUUACGACCUCGAUGUUGGAUCAGGACAUCCUAAUGGUGCAGCCGCUAUUAAGGGUUCGUUUGUUCAACGAUUAAUAGUCCUAC